rnacentral:rRNA from 1 species
UACGGAGGAUGCAAGCGUUAUCCGGAAUGAUUGGGCGUAAAGCGUCCGCAGGUGGCUGUGUAAGUCUGCUGUUAAAGAGUGAGGCUCAACCUCAUAAAGGCAGUGGAAACUACAUGGCUAGAGUGCGUUCGGGGCAGAGGGAAUUCCUGGUGUAGCGGUGAAAUGCGUAGAGAUCAGGAAGAACACCGGUGGCGAAGGCGGUGGUCUGGGCCGGCAUUGACGCUGAACAGCGAAAGCCAGGGGAGCAAACGGG